UACGUAGGGUGCAAGCGUUGUCCGGAAUUAUUGGGCGUAAAGAGCUCGUAGGCGGUUCGUCGCGUCGGCUGUGAAAUCCCGAGGCUCAACCUCGGGUCUGCAGUCGAUACGGGCGGACUGGAGUUCGGCAGGGGAGACUGGAAUUCCUGGUGUAGCGGUGAAAUGCGCAGAUAUCAGGAGGAACACCGGUGGCGAAGGCGGGUCUCUGGGCCGAAAUUGACGCUGAGGAGCGAAAGCGUGGGGAGCGAACAGG
rnacentral:rRNA from 1 species